GGAACGAACGCUGGCGGCAUGCCUAACACAUGCAAGUCGAACGAGACCUUCGGGUCUAGUGGCGCACGGGUGCGUAACGCGUGGGAAUCUGCCCUUGGGUUCGGAAUAACAGUUGGAAACGACUGCUAAUACCGGAUGAUGACGUAAGUCCAAAGAUUUAUCGCCCAGGGAUGAGCCCGCGUAGGAUUAGCUAAUUGGUGAGGUAAGGGCUCACCAAGGCGACGAUCCUUAGCUGGUCUGAGAGGAUGAUCAGCCACACUGGGACUGAGACACGGCCCAGACUCCUACGGGAGGCAGCAGUGGGGAAUAUUGGACAAUGGGCGAAAGCCUGAUCCAGCAAUGCCGCGUGAAUGAUGAAGGUCUUAGGAUUGUAAAAAUUCUUUCACCGGGGACGAUAAUGACGGUACCCGGAGAAGAAGCCCCGGCUAACUCGUGCCAGCAGCCGC
rnacentral:rRNA from 1 species